rnacentral:tRNA from 1 species
CACUAAGAAGCUAUAGGGUAGCGAUAGCCUUUUAAGCUAUAGAAUGGUGACCCCCAAACCACCCUUAGUGA